GCAGUAGCCGCGGUAGUACGUAGGGUGCGAGCGUUAAUCGGAAUUACUGGGCGUAAAGCGUGCGCAGGCGGUUGUGUAAGACAGGUGUGAAAUCCCCGGGCUUAACCUGGGAACUGCGCUUGUGACUGCACAGCUAGAGUAUGGCAGAGGGGGGUGGAAUUCCACGUGUAGCAGUGAAAUGCGUAGAGAUGUGGAGGAACACCGAUGGCGAAGGCAGCCCCCUGGGCCAAUACUGACGCUCAUGCACGAAAGCGUGGGGAGCAAACAGGAUUAGAUACCCCAGUAGUCCCUGUCUCUUAUAC
rnacentral:rRNA from 1 species